rnacentral:tRNA from 1 species
CAGAUUAUAGCUUAUUUAAAGCUUUUUAUUUACACUAAAAAGAAAACUUUCAUUAGUUUAUUCUGA